UACGUAGGGUGCGAGCGUUGUCCGGAAUUAUUGGGCGUAAAGGGCUCGUAGGCGGUUUGUCGCGUCGGGAGUGAAAUCAUCUGGCUUAACUGGGUGCUUGCUUUCGAUACGGGCAGACUAGAGGUAUGCAGGGGAGAACGGAAUUCCUGGUGUAGCGGUGAAAUGCGCAGAUAUCAGGAGGAACACCGGUGGCGAAGGCGGUUCUCUGGGCCGUAACUGACGCUGAGGAGCGAAAGCGUGGGGAGCGAACAGG
rnacentral:rRNA from 1 species